ACUACGGGGAGGUAAUCACGAACUUGAUUAAUCAAGUUCAUGAUUAUGACGUCAUGAAAAUGGGGCGUGGCAUGACCAUAUAAGGAGUUGUAAUCAAGAUUUUGAUUACUUUUCGUGCACCGAACUAUUCAAGUGUUUCGUAUCGAUUGUUAUAAUGUCCAUAUCGACACGAUUUUUUACCAGGUGAAACGCAAUAUUCUAUUCUCCCGAAAUGAUAUGGACCGGUAGCAGUGGGAUAUGUACUUUAGCUCAUAUGGCGAAAGAUAAACUGCUAGCCUAACUUUUUCAGAAAAGUGAUAUUUUUUAAAGCCCUUUUUAGGCGGAUAUUAUUCUUUUAUCCACAUUUUUACGUUUCUAAUUUAAAAAUAAAUAAUUGGACAUUCAUUUUACACACGUCUUAAAUUGGUCGUAAUAAACAUUUCUUCCAAAAGGCACCGUCGCCUGUUAGCACGCCGCCAUUUGUCGUGUUGUCGGUGUGUGGGUGAGGCCGGAAAUUAGCGCCGAAUUAUUGCUCAUCAAAGCACCACCUCCUCGCUGUAGCGGUGGGCGUCACCACAGUAUUGUUCAGGAAGCUUGUGAUAAUGGUACCUACGGUCCUACCUUGAGGAAUUUUCAAUCAAAAAAUGAUAUGAUUAACUUCUUUGGAAUUAAGCGGACUAACUACAGCUACAUUUGUAUUAUGUGCAGCGCUCAUGCAAGACAGCAGGCCAGGAUGCAGGGACACACAGCUGCAGGGGACCAGCUGGGAGAACCUGCAGCGCAUUCUCCAAGAGACGACGGAAGCCAACGGAGGCCCGCAAAACUUUCCAUCCCAUAAUCGUGAAUGGAGAGCUGGGCGGGGAAGACGCGGUAUUCGUCGAGGCCCAGGAGGUGGUAUCGGCGCCACCAGACCAAGCAUUCCUGCUGUGGCAGGCCGCCUUUUGGAUUUUUAACAUCAAAACUCCUAAAAACAUGGUCAAUCUGAAUUGGUUUCUGAGAACCAAAGUGUUUGGUGGAGUGAAGGCCGAUGUGCCGCCAUCAGCGGCGGCCAUCGCGACCGUGAAGCAAGUGGAGUGAGAUCCCCGUAGAGCAUGCCGCGGCGGGGUGUCGGAAGCGUUUGCCAAUUCUUUGAGCCUUCCAUCGGCGCGGACUAUAAAUACACAUUUCAAUACACAUUUCUUGAAA
rnacentral:lncRNA from 1 species